rnacentral:rRNA from 1 species
UGAUGCGUAGCCGAACUGAGAGGUUGAUCGGCCACAUUGGGACUGAGACACGGCCCAAACUCCUACGGGAGGCAGCAGUAGGGAAUCUUCCACAAUGGGCGAAAGCCUGAUGGAGCAACGCCGCGUGGGUGAAGAAGGUCUUCGGAUCGUAAAACCCUGUUGUUAGAGAAGAAAGUGCGUGAGAGUAACUGUUCACGUUUCGACGGUAUCUAACCAGAAAGCCACGGCUAACUACGUGCCAGCAGCCGCGGUAAUACGUAGGUGGCAAGCGUUAUCCGGAUUUAUUGGGCGUAAAGGGAACGCAGGCGGUCUUUUAAGUCUGAUGUGAAAGCCUUCGGCUUAACCGGAGUAGUGCAUUGGAAACUGGGAGACUUGAGUGCAGAAGAGGAGAGUGGAACUCCAUGUGUAGCGGUGAAAUGCGUAGAUAUAUGGAAGAACACCAGUGGCGAAAGCGGCUCUCUGGUCUGUAACUGACGCUGAGGUUCGAAAGCGUGGGUAGCAAACAGGAUUAGAUACCCUGGUAGUCCACGCCGUAAACGAUGAAUGCUAAGUGUUGGAGGGUUUCCGCCCUUCA